GAUUAAGUGUCGUAAGGGCAUUUGGUGGAUGCCUUGGCAUGCACAGGCGAUGAAGGACGUGAUACGCUGCGAAAAGCCGUGGGGAGCUGCGAAUGAGCUUUGAUCCAUGGAUCUCCGAAUGGGGCAACCCACCUUAAAUGCUUGGAAAAUCCAAACUGACUGUAAGGUCGGCUUGGGUUUCCAAGCAUUGUGAUAAGGUAUCUACACCUGAAUACAUAGGGUGUAAGAAGCGAACGCAGGGAACUGAAACAUCUAAGUACCUGCAGGAAAGGACAUCAACCGAGACUCCGCAAGUAGUG
rnacentral:rRNA from 1 species